rnacentral:lncRNA from 1 species
CUCAGGAGGCUGAGGCAGGAGAAUUGCUUGAACCCGAGAGACGGAGGUUGCAGCGAGCUAAGAUCGCUGCACUGCACUCUAGCCUGGGUGACAGAGCGAGACUCCGUCUCAAAAAAAAAAGAAGAGUGGGAAUCAGUUACUGUUAUCUCCAGUGGCUGCCAUGCUGCCUGACCCAUAAAGGGUGCUCCAUAGAUUUUUUUUUUUUUAUGACAGAAUCUGGCUAUGUCACCCAGGCUGGAGUGCAGUGGCACAAUCAUAACCCACUGCAGCCUUGGCCUCCUGGGGGCUCAAGCAGUUCUCCUGCCUCAGUCUCUUGAGUGGCUAGGACUACAGGUAUGCACCACCACAUCCAGACAUUUUAUUUUUUGUAGAGACAGGGACUUGCUAUGUAUUCUAGGCCGGUCUCGAACUCCUGGUCUUAAGCAAUCCUUCCACCUUGGCCUCCUUAAAUGUUGGGAUUAUGGGAGUGAGCCACUGUGACUGGCCAGAUAUUUCUUAUUCACCUCUGCAUCUCUAAUAACUAGCAUCCUUCUGAAGACAUAAUAGGAGAUUAAUAAAUGCAUGUUAAAUCAGGCAGUAGUAUGUUUUCGUAGUUCUUUAUGAUGAAGGUGACAUAGUUGUGAGAUGUGAUGGGGACAAGGGAUGCCAUUAAGGCAAUGGACAUAUUCUUGUGGUGCUAAGAGAUUGGACUAUGUCCUCUAUUUCAACUGCUAAACUUUCCCCAGGGAGUCAUUUGUGCCAUACUCUUGGUCCUAAGUAAACAGCUGCCAUCAAACUAGCAAUUCAAAAAAGAACUACUUUAAGUAUAAAAUAUUUAAUUUAAAAUAUAUAAUACAUGAUAUGCUUCCCAUUAGUCCUAGUGGCUAAAAACUAUCCGGCCUAAUUAGGUCUCACCAGGGCUUAGGAGUUACCAGAGUUUGGACUGUCAAGUUCCAGAUUCAACUCAACAAAAUUCACCAAUAUUUGUAUUCCUGCUAUGUGUCAGGCACUAUAUUAGUGCUGGGAAUCUGGGAAUAUGAAGUCCUCAGGCAAUUAACAGGUUAAUGGAAGAAGCAGAUACAGUUAACUCUCUGUGGGUUCUGUAUCCAUGGAUUCAACCAACCACAGAUCAAAAAUAUUUGGGAAAAGUAUUGCAACUGUAAUGAACGUGUACAGACUUUUUUCUUGUCAUUAUUCCCUAAACAAUACAGUGAAGCAAUUAUUUACAUACCACUUACAUUGUAUUAGGUAUUAUAAGUCAUCUGGAGGUGAUUUAGAGUAUACAACAGGAUGUACAUAGGUUAUAUACAAAGGUUGUAUUUUAUAUCAGGGACUUGAGCAGCCAUUAACUGGUAUCCAAGAGAGAUCUUAGAACCAAUCCUCUGUGGAUACCAAGGGGCGACUUGACAUAAAUAAAUACAUAAUAUCUAAAACCGAGCAAGUACAAAAAGCUUGGGAAAUACAGCUGAGGAACAAUGGAUUCUGCCUAGGGGCAAUGGAAAUAACCUCACUUGUAUUUCUUUAAUGUUUCCUCUUAAUCCAAGGAAGGUUUCUUCCUAUAAUUUGAGUCCUAAAUUUGCCCAUGCAAAAGUUAGCAUGUGACCACUUUCAAAAGCAAAAGUAGAGGUGUUAAGAUUUCUAAAUUUAACUAAAGCAUUUACCCUUCUUAUAAAUAGUCUAUCAUUUGUUUCUUUACAUUUCUAACCCCUCUCAAAGACAGUAUCUGAACUGAUAAUCAGCUUAGAUUUGCAUCUUUGGAAAACAUAGUUCUGGUAACUGUUUUCAUUUUGUGCAAGCUGAAAAGGCUAAAGCAGUGAAAUCAUAUAACAAAAAUAAGCACAGUAUAUUUUAGUAUGGUACUAUUAAGGGCUACAACUUCAUCACCCUAACAAGAUUAUCUCCUUUCUCUGACUUCAUUGUCUAUUCAUUUGAUCACUGACUUAAAGCAAUUUGAAAUUGCUAACAACUGCUUAUACUUUAUCUCUCAACUGAAGGGCAGAAACCAUGUUUUACUUUAUAUUCCCUGCUAGCAGAUAGUUGGGCAAAUAUUAGAAAUUGGUGAGUGACAGAUGCCACAUAUAGAAAGAGUGCUGGGCUCUGAGUUAGAAUACCCACCUUAAUUUCCUCGCACUCUUUUGAUUAGCUGUAUGAACUUGAGCAGGUCAUCUUGCCUCUCUAAGCCCAUUUCUACAUCUAUAAAAUAGGAUAUUUUAUAAAUAACACUCACCUAGUGAGGGCCAUUGGGAGCAGCACUAACAGGAUAAUGCAUGUGAAAACAAAACAUUGCAAAACAUGAGAUAUAUUGUCAUACUGGUAAAUUCUUACUGAAUUGAAUAUUUUAUUUAUGUCCCUUGUGGGGAUGGAAAAAGGCCCAAAACUACUAUAAAUGUCAGGGAUUAUUUAUAUUUGAAAUGGACAGAACAAGUUGCUUUGAUCUCUGAGAGGUUAUUGCUAAUUUCCUUAAUGUUAAAAUGUAAACUUGGGCCAGGCGCGGUGGCUCACACCUGUAAUCCCAGCACUUUGGGAGGCUGAGGCGGAAAGAUCACCUGAGCUUAGGAGUUUAAGACCAGCCUGGCCAACAUGGUGAAACUCCAUCUCUACUAAAAAUACAAAAAAUUAACCGGACAUGUUGCCUGUCGCCUGUAACCCCAGCUUCUCAGGAGGCUGAGGCUGGAGAAUUGCCUGAACCCAGGAGGCGGAGGUUGCAGUAAGCCCAGAUCGUGCCAUUGCACUCUAGCCUGGACGAUAAGAAUGAAACUUUGUCUCAAAAAAAAUCAAAACAAAACAAAAUAUAAACUCAUUCAGUGUUAGCAAACCUAUUUCAGUCUAUAAUAUUUUAUAUACUAUGAUUAUUCCUAUUUUUAUUAACAAUUCCAACUUAAACCCCUAGUUUGUAAGUAAUGGUACAUUAGGAAUAAAAUCAAUGAUGCACUAGAAUUGUAUAGAAACAACUCAAGCACAAAUUAUAUCAGAUAUACGUUCUAAAGCCUCAAUUAACAUAAAUACUCUAAUUCUCAUUAAAAGCAUCUCAGAGACAGUUAUCUUUGUGUAUGUGAUUGGGAUUUAAUAACAGCAAACAAAAGAGUAUGAAUUUGAAGAACAAGAAAAGAGAUUUCACAUCAUAUUCUUUAAAGAGUUGCAUAGGCAUAAACAGAGUAACUUUGAGCAUUAUGUUACUCUGGAAUUAAAUGUAUAAUAGAAAUAAGAAUGAUUGUAUUAGCAUAAGAAUAAAAAGUUAGUCUGAAAGGUCAUCUUGCGAGAUCAGGUUUUUAUGUGUUGUGUGGAAGAGGCAAUGUUCUGAAAACCCACUGGGAGAAGGAAAUUCAUAAAUAUUAAUAAAUGAAAACAUUAUAGAUAAAAUAUGCAGCAGCAUGUGAGUUUGGAUGGUUUUUAUUGUCACAAUAUAUGGUUGAUAUUUGGAGAAAGUAUCUUAUUAUAAACUAGAAACAUGCAUAUUUAUUUAUACAGAUCAUAUUCUGGAAAACUUCAUUCUUUAGCUUUUCUGAAACUUGAGGUAUCACAAGUUCUGAAACUUAUGAAAUUACAUGGAAGAUUUUUUUCUUUUUGAUUAUAUGCAUUCUAACCAGCAAGACCCUCAUCAUUUCUCACCCAGUUAUUGCAUUAGUAGUUCUCUUUACAGGUCUCUUGUCUCAAGGUGUGAUGAAGAAGUUAAGUUCUUGCCAAUGGAAUGCCAGUAGAAGUUAUGUGUAACACUUCAGGAUUAUUCACUUACAGGGAAGGUGUGCCAUUCUUUUUCCCCUUUGCCCUCCCUACUUGCUGGAAUGUGUUUUUGUUUGUUUGCUUGUUUUUGAGAUGGAGUCUCACUCUGUUGCCCAGGCUGGAGUGCAGUGGCACUAUCUGUGCUCAUUACAACCUCUGCCUCCCAGGUUCCAGGGAUUCUCCUGCCUCAGCCUUCAGAGUAGCUGGGACUACCGGCACAUGCCACCAUGCCCGGCUAAUUUUUUGUAUUUUUAGUAGGGAUGGGGUUUCACUGUGUUAGCCAGGAUGGUCUCAAUCUUGUGACCUCGUGAUCUGCCCACGUUGGCCUCCCGAAGUGCUGGGAUUACAGGUGUGAGCCACUGUGCCCGGCCUGGAAUGUGUUUUUACCAAAAUGGUGGGGAGCCAUACUGGACCAAGAAGAUGAAGUCAACUCUCUGUGGAUGGAUGAGCAUGACAUCCAUCUGUAUGGAUAGAACUAUGACACAGAGGGACACUAUGAAGAUUCCCUAUCAGUCCCAUUCUCCUCAUGCCCAGACUAGUAUAAGAUAGAAAUACAUUUCCAUCUUGUUUAAGCACUCUUUAUUUUUUGUCUCUGUUACAGCAGCCAAACCUCUAACUUAAAUUAUGCAUGAAAUCUAUUGUGAUUAAUUCUUUUCAAAUAUAUUUCCCCUAGAAGAUGAAGUCCUUGAGGAUUAUGACUUUAUCUUAUUCAUCUUUGUACCGCCAGUGUACCUAUCCCAUAGAAGUACUCAAUAAAAGCUUGUUAAAAAAAAGUAAACAAAUAAACAAAUACAGGUCCUAAUGGAAAUGAUCUUCCAUUGCUACCGGAUAGUUGCCCUACAGGCAGAGUCAAAUGAAAAUGAUAAGAUUCGAAGCUAAGUGUCUCAUCAAGUGAGAGGAGGGAGGCUAAUGAGCCACCACCCUGAGAAAUAUGAGGAGAUAUUCUGAUGAGAGAUGACAUGAGUCAGAAAGCCUUGCCUGUUCUGAAGGUUUAGGGGAUGCAAAUCAUCUCUACCCUACAACUGAUCAUCAGAGGUAUUCUUUUUUUUUUUUUUUUAAUUGAGAUGGAGUCUUGCUCUGUUGCCCAGGCUGGAGUGCAGUGGUGCAAUCUUGGCUCACUGAAACCUCCGCCUUCCGGGUUCAAGCGAUUCUCCUGCCUCAGCCUCCUGAGUAGCUGGAAUUACAGGCACCUGCCACCACACCCAGCUAAUUUUUGUAUUUUUAGUAGAGACGAGAUUUCACCGUGUUGGCCAGGCUGGUCUUGAA